AGCGGCGGACGGGUGAGUAACGCGUGGGUAACCUGCCCUAUACACAUGGAUAACAUACUGAAAAGUUUACUAAUACAUGAUAGUAUAUAUUUGCGGCACCGUAGAUAUAUCAAAGUGUUAGCGGUAUAGGAUGGACCCGCGUCUGAUUAGCUAGUUGGUGAGAUAACUGCCCACCAAGGCGACGAUCAGUAGCCGACCUGAGAGGGUGAUCGGCCACAUUGGAACUGAGACACGGUCCAAACUCCUACGGGAGGCAGCAGUGGGGAAUAUUGCACAAUGGGCGAAAGCCUGAUGCAGCAACGCCGCGUGAACGAUGAAGGUCUUCGGAUCGUAAAGUUCUGUUGCAGGGGAAGAUAAUGACGGUACCCUGUGAGGAAGCCCCGGCUAACUACGUGCCAGCAGCCGCGGUAAUACGUAGGGGGCUAGCGUUAUCCGGAUUUACUGGGCGUAAAGGGUGCGUAGGUGGUCCUUCAAGUCGGUGGUUAAAGGCUACGGCUCAACCGUAGUAAGCCGCCGAAACUGGAGGACUUGAGUGCAGGAGAGGAAAGUGGAAUUCCCAGUGUAGCGGUGAAAUGCGUAGAUAUUGGGAGGAACACCAGUAGCGAAGGCGGCUCUCUGGACUGCAACUGACACUGAGGCACGA
rnacentral:rRNA from 1 species